GGCAAGUCGAGCGGAUUUCACGGAGCUUGCUUCCGUGACUUCAGCGGCGGACGGGUGAGUAACACGUGGGCAACCUGCCUGUAAGACAGGGAUAACUUCGGGAAACCGGAGCUAAUACCGGAUAACUCUUCGGACCACAUGGACUGAAGAUAAAAGAUGGUUCUGCUAUCACUUACAGAUGGGCCCGCGGCGCAUUAGCUAGUUGGUGAGGUAACGGCUCACCAAGGCGACGAUGCGUAGCCGACCUGAGAGGGUGAUCGGCCACACUGGGACUGAGACACGGCCCAGACUCCUACGGGAGGCAGCAGUAGGGAAUCUUCCGCAAUGGACGAAAGUCUGACGGAGCAACGCCGCGUGAGCGAUGAAGGCCUUCGGGUCGUAAAGCUCUGUUGUUAGGGAAGAACAAGUAUCAGUUAACUGCUGGUACCUUGACGGUACCUAACGAGAAAGCCACGGCUAACUACGUGCCAGCAGCCGCGGUAAUACGUAGGUGGCAAGCGUUGUCCGGAUUUAUUGGGCGUAAAGCGCGCGCAGGGCGGUUCCUUAAGUCUGAUGUGAAAGCCCACGGCUCAACCGUGGAGGGUCAUUGGAAACUGGGGAACUUGAGUGCGAAGAGGAGAGCGGAAUUCCACGUGUAGCGGUGAAAUGCGUAGAGAUGUGGAGGAAACACCAGUGGCGAAGGCGGCCUCUCUGGUUCU
rnacentral:rRNA from 1 species